GGAUGUGAGGGCAGUCUGGCUGCGACAUCUGUCACCUCACUGAUCCGGCUGGUCUGGCUAGCUAGGCGGGAGUCCCCUUCCUCCCUCACCGCUCCCUCCCUCCUGAAGCCGCAUGCUCAGUGGAAGAGGAUGACCACCUCGGCAGAGGAGGACUGGUUCCUCAGCCAGGGCUGUACAGGUGGCUGUGCUCCCCUUCUACAGUCUCCAAAUGAGCUCUCAAAUGGCGACACUAAAGCUCCAAGAGGUUAAGUUACUUAUUAGGAUCACACAGCGAAUAAGUCAGAGCUGAGAUUGAAUCAGGCCACACUCUUUCUAUUAUACUGUACUGCUGCCUUAUU
rnacentral:snRNA from 1 species